rnacentral:pre_miRNA from 1 species
CUGCUUGGCCGAUUUUGGCACUAGCACAUUUUUGCUUGUGUCUCUCCGCUCUGAGCAAUCAUGUGCAGUGCCAAUAUGGGAAAAGCGG